rfam:Felis catus isolate Cinnamon breed Abyssinian chromosome X, whole genome shotgun sequence.
GCCUGAGUGGCUCAGUCGGUUAAGCCUCCGACUUCAGCUCAGGUCACGAUCUCAUGGUCCGUGGGUUCGAGCCCCGCAUCAGGCU